rnacentral:lncRNA from 1 species
GGGAGAGCCAAGUACCACGAGGCUCACCCACUCCUUGGAGACAUCUGGAGGGCACUUGGUCAGUACACUGUGACAUCUACUCAGUAUGUGUUCUAGAAGGCCAACAGUGCAGUAGACUAGGUGGCUUCUUUCGUUGCUGACCAUUCCAGCGAUUGGAGUUGGUGUCCUGGUGAUGUUUGCCUUUGGGGUUGGAGGAUGUAUUCUUUUUUGACUUCUUGAACUGUACUCACACCAGAGCUAU